rnacentral:rRNA from 1 species
GUACUGUAAGAAUCAGUACCACUGAAAGGGCAAGGGUUCCUUGGCAAUGCAAAUCAGCCAAGGGUUAGUCGAACCUAACUUAAUCCAUAAAUUGGAUUAUGGGAAAGGGAGAAAGGUUAAUAUUCCUUUACUAUUCAAGUAUGCGUGGCGACACAAGCUUCAUUCCCGACAUUUCCGAUUAAGCUAACACAAAUCUUCGUUUGUGUCAACCGGAAUGAAUCAGAGGAGUAUUAUAAUAAUGAGAAUCUGAUUAAAUCUGGGAUGAGUAUCCUCAUGGGAUAUUUAGCUGAUAUCCGGAAUCCGUGAAAAGGGAAUAGAGAAAGAACUUGAAUAUUCGUACCAAGAACCAGCACAGGUGCCCCAAGGUGAGAAGCCUAAAGUGUGAAGGAUUAAUCUAAUUGAGGGAAUUCGGCAAAUUAGCCCCGUACCUUCGGUAUAAGGGGUCCCUGCAAUUGUUGCUAAGCAAUUGAUUGCAGGGUGCAAUGACUAAGGGGGUCCGACUGUUUAACAAAAACUUAACUGACUGCUAGCCUGUAAAGGUGUGUAUAGUCGGUGACACCUGCCCAGUGUCUGUACUUUAAACUUCCGUCCAAGGAAGCUAAGAGCAGGUAAACGGCGGGGGUAACUAUAACUCUCUUAAGGUAACGUAAUACCUUGUCGUUUGAUUGACGACUUGCAUGAAUGGUGUAACGAGAUCCCCACUGUCCCCAAUUAGAAUCCUCCGAACACUCCAUACUGGUGCAAAGGCCAGUGAUUUCCAGUGGGAAGCGAAGACCCCGUGAAACUUUACUACAGCCUAUUGUUGCGAUGUGGGUUUUGAUGUGUAGUGUAGGUGGUAGUUGCUAAAGCUUGGCCGUCAGGUUAAGUGUAGGCGACAAUGAAACACCACUCUUCAAAACCUAUAUUGCUUAAUCCGGAAGGAUAACAUCGGUAGGUGGACAGUUUGGCUGGGGUGGCACCCUGUUGAAACAAUAUCAACAGGACCCAAAGGUUGGCUCAAGCGGGUCAGAAAUCCGCAGUAGAGUGUAAGGAUAAAAGCCAGCCUGACUGUAUUCAUAAUAAGAUUGAAUGCAGGCAUGAAAAUGUGGUCUAGCGAACCUCUAUACCCUCCUUGAUGGGGGUUAGAGAUGAUCAAAAAGUUACUCCGGGGAUAACAGAGUUGUCGCGCCUGAGAGUUCAUAUCGACGGCGCGGCUUGCUACAUCGAUGUCGGCUCUACCUAUCCUGGACGUGCAGAAGCGUCCAAGGGUGCGGGUGUUCACCGAUUAAAAGGUAUCGUGAGCUGGGUUCAGAACGCUGUGAGGCAGUUUGUUUGAUAUCUACUGGAGAUGUUUGAUGUCUGAAAGGAAUAACCUUCUAGUACGAGAGGAACGAAGGUUAGAGGCCUCUGGUCUACCUGUUAUCUGACAAGGUAAGCAGGGCAGCUACGCCUUAUAGGAUAAGUGCUGAAAGCAUCUAAGCACGAAGCCUUCCUUGAAAAGAGACAUCAUAGAACUCUCGCAAAACACGAGUUUAAUGGGACAGGAGUGUAAGUACGAAGGCAACGACGUAUUCAGCUCGCUGUUUCCAACAGUUCAAUCUUUUAGUU